rnacentral:rRNA from 1 species
GUGAACGCUGGCGGUAGGCCUAACACCUGCCAGUCGCACGGCAGCACAGUAAGAGCUUGCUCUUACGGGUGGCGAGUGGCGGACGGGUGAGGAAUACAUCGGAAUCUACUUUUUCGUGGGGGAUAACGUAGGGAAACUUACGCUAAUACCGCAUACGACCUACGGGUGAAAGCAGGGGAUCUUCGGACCUUGCGCGAUUGAAUGAGCCGAUGUCGGAUUAGCUAGUUGGCGGGGUAAAGGCCCACCAAGGCGACGAUCCGUAGCUGGUCUGAGAGGAUGAGCAGCCACACUGGAACUGAGACACGGUCCAGACUCCUACGGGAGGCAGCAGUGGGGAAUAUUGGACAAUGGGCGCAAGCCUGAUCCAGCCAUACCGCGUGGGUGAAGAAGGCCUUCGGGUUGUAAAGCCCUUUUGUUGGGAAAGAAAAGCAGCAGGUUAAUACCCCGCUGUUCUGACGGUACCCAAAGAAUAAGCACCGGCUAACUUCGUG